UCCUAUUAACGAUGGAGAACACUUGUUUCAUUAUAAAGUGGUCCAAGGAGACUUUGUGUGGAUUUUCUACUGGAUCUUAAAUGAGAACGAGGAAACGCAUUGCUCUUCAAUGACGAUGCAGGCAAGCGAUUCCUCAAAUUUGAAAAACAAGGAUGUUGGCACAUUUUGGAUUUCCCUCUGAGGAAGUGCAGAUUAUUGGCUCUUGGUCCUCCGGUGCUCAUAACCAGGCAACUGCCUGCAUAAAGAGAGAGAUUGUGUCAGUCCAACUGGUUGGGGUUGUUGUCCUGCUGGAAGGUGAAUCCAUCUCCCAGUGUCUGGUGGAAAGCAGACUGAACCAGGUUUUCCGCUAGGAUUUUGCCUGUGCUUCACUCCAUUCUGUAUCUUUGUAGUAACUGGGUGUAUUGAAACACCAUCCAAAGUGUAAUUCAUAACUUCACCUUCCUCAGAGGGAUAAUAGAUGUCAUUUUUUUCUCUCCCGCAUCUACAAAUAAGUGCCCUUUGCGAGGCAUUGGAAGACCUCCCUGGUCUUUGUGGUUGAAUCUGUGUUUGAAAUUCAUUGCUUGACUGAGGGACCUUACAGAUAAUUGUAUGUGUGGGGUACAGAGAUGAGGUAGUCAUUCAUGCAACUUAUGCAACUUAUUAUGUGACUUGUUAAGCACAGUUUUACUCCUGAAUUAUUUAGGCUUGCCAUGAGAAAGGGGUUGAAUACUUAUUGACUCAAGACAUUUCAGCUUUUCAUUUUUUAUUAAUUUGUAAAAAUGUCUAAAAACAUAAUUCCACUUUUACAUUAUAGGCCAGUGACAACAAAUCUCAAUUGAAUCAAUUUUAAAUUCAGCCUGAAACACAACAAAAUGUGGAAAAAGUCUAGGGGUGUUUAUACUUUCUGAAGAAAGUGUAUAUGUCUACCCUGAAAGGCUGUGCUGAAGCACAAGUACAUUGUUUUAACCAUUGAAUAAGUUGUAUUGCAAUAAACUGAGCAAGAAUGAGACAACGUAUAUACUAAUAAAUAUCAGUCUUAAAACGUUACGGGUUUAUUUUAUUAUUUUCAUUUUAUGUAGGCAUGUACAGUGUGUUGGGAGAGAAUAUUCAAUAAUUCUUAACUGUUCAAUAAUUGAACACCAGCCCAUCCCUUAUUAAAGCAUGUAUAUUGAUCUUGAGAUGAUAAAAGAGCAUAAAAGACCAUUUUAGAAUCAAC
rnacentral:lncRNA from 1 species